AUCCUGCGGUUGGUGGUGGGUUAAGCCAAUAAGUUAUAUUUUCACAUUUAAAAAAAAAAUAGAUUCAUCCUUCUGCCCCAUGGGUCUAAAUUAUCUUUGUAAAGAAACUUGUUUCCCUCCACAACCAAUACUUUAUUGUUGCUCAUACCUUCUUACAGAUAGAGCUAUUUUCCCUUACCUGUCCAGCGGUGGAGGCUGGCAGAUCCAAACACCACCUCUACCACCAUCUUCCCAACAAACUGCAGAAGGGCUAGUUACUCUGCAAAGUUUCCUGGAGGUAAUUCAGCAACUGUCUGCAGGCAGCCCACUCAGACUUACAGGUGUACUUGCAGAUCUUUGCUGUAGCUUUAAAAACUCAGAAGGGAGGCAGUUUUGCAGUGCUUUCUCCCUAGUGCUGAAACAUGUUUUUUGCCAGCUCUUCUGACAUAUUUAUAGGCAAACAAAGCUUGGGUGACAGUGUACGGGAUACCUGGACAUAUUGUCAUUUGAGGUUACUUGCUGUUUUUUUCUCAGAACUACCAUCUUGAUCAAGUUGGAAGUCCAGGUCUAGCACUGGUGGAAGAAAUAAGUCGACCAAAUUACAGAGUGAAGCCAGUAACAGCCCUCAAAUUCAUUCUUCUUCUUCGAACACCUGUGAAUCUUCUUGCAGUUCAGCUACAGCACCGUUGUGGUUAAAGAAGACCAGCCUCUGAAGCUGUUGUGUUAAUAUGCAAUUGAAACUCUUAAAAGGCUGUGGCUACCUCAGUCCCACGUCGUACACCAACCUUAACAAAUUCACGAGGGAAUUUAUCUAGCUGCUCAUAUGCCAGCCGUCCAUCUUCUCCUGAGCAGAGAAAAAUGAGAAGCAAGGCAAAUGUUGCAUGAAGGCAGAGGUUCUCCAGGCCACACUUUCAGAAUAAAAAUAUGCUUGUGCCACACCAAUUUUUUGAAAAUUGAUAAAUACUUUGGGAAACAAGAA